GUGCUCACUUCGGCAGCACAUAUACUAAAAAUUGGAAUGAUACAGAGAUUAGCAUGACCCUUGCACAAGGAUGACAUGCAAAUUUGUGAAGUGUUUCAUAUAUUU
ensembl:snRNA U6 U6 spliceosomal RNA